rnacentral:rRNA from 1 species
AGUGAACGCUGGCGGCGUGCCUAAUACAUGCAAGUCGAACGGAGUGGCGCACGGGUGAGUAAUGUAUAGCUAAUCUGCCCUACAGUAGAGGCCAACCGUUGGAAACGACUCCUAAUCCUCUAUAGUUUAGGAGGAGGUUAUAUUGUAUCAGCUGGUUGGUGAGGUAAUGGCUCACCAAGGCUAUGAUGUCUAACUGGUUUGGGAGGCUGAUCAGUUACGCGGGAACGGAGACACGGUCCAGACUCCUACGGGAGGCAGCAGUAGGGAAUAUUGCUCAGUGGGGGAAGCCCUGAAGCAGCAACGCCGCGUGGAGGAUGACACUUGUCGGAGCGUAAACUCCGAUUGUUAGGGAAGCGGUACCUAACGAAUGAGCACCGGCUAACGCCGUGCCAGCAGCCACGGUAAUAC